CAGAGACAGAAGCGGAGGAGAGAGAGAGAAAAGGAGCGAUAAAGCAGCGAGGGGAGGGGGAAAGAAACUGAACCAAACAGAUCGAAGUUCAAAAAAGGUUGUUUAUUAUUAACCCUCCCUGCCUCUCAGUGUUCUUAGUGAGCUGUAGGAAAAUGACAGAAGCGGAGUUAUACGAUGAAUAUAAAGGGGUUUACGUGCCUAAACACCUCCACCCUCCUGAGAGCCUGAAAUACUAUGAGGACUUCACUUUCCGGCCGGACGACGUGCUUAUCGUGACCUACCCGAAGUCCGGUACGACAUGGCUGCAGGAGAUCAUACCACUGAUCUUAAGUGCCGGAGAUCUCUGCUCAGUUCAGACUGUACCAAACUGGGACAGGGUACCCUGGCUGGAAGAGCAUCGGGCAAUUGUGCUGAAUCUGGAGCAAAGACCCUCGCCUCGAGCCUUUGCCACCCACUUUCAACAUUAUAUGAUGAACGAGUCGUAUUCCAAAGUGAAGCCAAAGGUCAUUUACGUAAUGCGAAACCCCAAGGAUGUGUUCACAUCUUCCUUCCACUACUAUGGAAUGGCUUCCUACAUGGUGAAUCCAGGCACUGCUGACGAGUUCCUGGAAAAGUUUCUAAAUGGAAAAAUAAUGUUUGGUUCAUGGUUUGAUCAUGUGAAGGGAUGGCUGAACGCUAAAGAUCAAGAGCACAUUUUCUAUAUUGCCUAUGAAGAACUGAUACAGGAUUUGAAAGGAUCUGUCUCAAGAAUUGGCCACUUUCUUGGAAAAUCUCUGAGUCCAGAAGUGGUCGAGAAAAUAGCCGAAAACUGCGUCUUCAAAAACAUGAAGCAGAACAAGAUGUCCAACUACUCUCUGGUUCCGGAAGAGUUCAUGGACCAGAAGAAAUCAGAGUUUCUCAGGAAAGGAGUUGUUGGAGACUGGAAGAACCUUUUCACAGAGGCCCAAACACAGAGAUUCGAUACUGUGUACAAAGACAAAAUGAAGGAUGUGAAGUUUAAAUUUGCCUGGGAUUAAUGGAACUCACUAUAUCCAUAUAACAGUAGUGCCAUUAUGAUGUUAUAACUGCACAGGGUAUAAAGUUUGAUGGUGGCUGAGUACGCACACACACAUACAUUAUAUAUAUAUAUAUAUAUAUGUUGCAUCAUCAGGUUGUAUAUGAUGUUUAUGGUCAUUUGGACUUUGUUGAGCUAAAACUAGAGAAUGUGUCCUUGAACGUUGUUAUCCAUAUUGUUCCAUGCUGAGCAAGUUACUACUUAUGUGAUAACACUGAAGGAUGUCAGAAGUUGAAGGACAUGAGUUUCCUCUCUUGGCUUUCUUGGUUGGUAUAUGAUUGUGUUUUGUUAAAUAUGGCAGUGAACAUUGCAACAGUGAUGUACAGCUUUCCCCACCAUGUUUUUAAAACCAUUAGGCCUAGAUUGUACUGUACCAUUUUUAUUGUGUUUUACAAAACACAGAAGAGAUCAUAUAGAGAUUAUAUAGAGUUGUUGUGCUUUUAGCUAUAUUGUUGACAUACAGACUCUCUGGCACUCUCGGCAGAAACGCUCUUCUUUUAAUGGCAUUAAAACACUGAAUUUAA